GCUCUCUUCCACUUCCUGCUCGCGUCUCGUCGAGAUACUGAAGAAACUUCCAGAUCAUCCUGCUGCAGAGAUACUGAAGAAACUUCCAGAUCAUCCUGCUGCAGAGGUGUCAGUGGAGCAAGGUGAAACUCAACAUGAAGAUGAACAGCACUGGUCCAGGGAGUUUAAGGCUCAGGCUCAGCCUUGAAAGGUCCAUCUGCACAAUCUGCUCACUGAACUCACCAAACCAGCUGAAACAUGCUCUGAGGUGGGAGUUUGAUUAGAGGUUUGAGGAUGGAUGCCACACUUCAAUGUCUCAACAAGAUCUCUUCAGUGGAUCAUUGAAGAUGAACACAGCAUUGGUUGGAGUAUGAUGAUGGUGCAGUGACUCCUUCAGCAGCAUCACUGAGCUCUUCUAGCUGGAGAUGGUGCAGUGACUCCUUCAGCAGCAUCACGAGCUGUUCUAGCUGGAGGUAUCUGUCUGUGGACGUUUAGGAAGAUGCUGUGAUUUCUGCAUGGAGUGUCUGCUCAGGUUGCCAUCAAAUUUUAGGUCCUCUGGAUUUUGAGUUGAGGAUCAAGCUGCCUGUCAACUGUCCAUGUGAAGCAAGAUGAUGGAGGUUGCCAUCAGAUUUUAGAGGUCCUCUGGAUUUUGAGUUGAGGUGUCGUUAAACCAGCUGGAUCUGUUGCCUGCUGCUUUGUGGCAUUGUGAUGCUGGACACAUCAACCAUCUUCUACUACAGCUCAAUACAGAUACAUAUAUUUUGUAUUUAAUACUUUCCUGAUUGAUCCCGAGUUUCCAGUGAACAUUAUUGAUAUGGUGCAAAUUUCCAAUAAAACUAUUAA